AAGGGUGACGAAGCGACGCCGCGUGUGGGAAGAAGGCCUUCGGGUUGUAAACCACUGUCGGGAGUUAGGAAAUGCAGGUGCGUUAAUAGCGCACUUGCUUGACUAAGGCUCCAGAGGAAGCCACGGCUAACUCUGUGCCAGCAGCCGCGGUAAUACAGAGGCGGCAAGCGUUGUUCGGAAUUAUUGGGCGUAAAGAGCACGUAGGCGGCCUUGCAAGUCAGUUGUGAAAGCCUUCCGCUUAACGGAAGAACGGCAUCUGAUACUACAGGGCUUGAGUACGGGAGGGGAGAGUGGAACUUCUGGUGGAGCGGUGAAAUGCGUAGAUAUCAGAAGGAACGCCGGCGGCGAAAGCGACUCUCUGGUCCGAGACUGACGCUGAGUGUGCGAAAGCUAGGGGAGCAAACGGGAUUAGAUACCCCGGUAGUCCUAGCCGUAAACGAUGGGCACUAAGUAGAGGGGUC
rnacentral:rRNA from 1 species